rnacentral:ncRNA from 1 species
GAGAGCCGUAUGAUGGGAAACUAUCACGUACGGUUCGGGAAAGGGGGUAUGCGUUGCUAAGAGACGUAUAUCUCUAGUUCAU